GAUGAACGCUGGCGGCGUGCCUAACACAUGCAAGUCGAGCGAACAGACCAGGAGCUUGCUCCCCCGACUUUAUCGGCGGACGGGAGCUUAACACGUGGAUAACCUACCUAUCAGACUGGGAUAAUUUCGGGAAACCGGAUCUAAUACCGGAUAAUAUAUUGCAUCGCAUUGUUCAAUAGUUAAAGACGCUAUUUCUUACACUAAUAGACUGACCCGCGGAGCAUUAGUUAGUUGGUAAGGGAACGGCUUACCAAGGCAACGAUGCGUAGCCGACCUGAGAGGGUGAUCGGCCACACGGGAACUGAGACACGGUCCAGACUCCUACGGGAGGCAGCAGUAGGGAAUCUUCCGCAAUGGGCGAAAGCCUGACGGAGCAACGCCGCGUGAGUGAUGAAGGUCUUCGGAUCGUAAAACUCUGUUAUUAGGGAAGAACAAAUGUGUAAGUAACUAUGCACGUCUUGACGGUACCUAAUCAGAAAGCCACGGCUAACUACGUG
rnacentral:rRNA from 1 species